GGGGGUGUAGCUCAGUUGGUAGAGCAUCUGCCCUGCAAGCAGAGGGUCAGGAGUUCGAAUCUCCUCACCUCCACCA
rnacentral:tRNA from 1 species